UGAGGAAUAUUGGUCAAUGGACGAGAGUCUGAACCAGCCAAAUCGCGUGAAGGAAGACUGCCCUACGGGUUGUAAACUUCUUUUGUACAGGAAUAAAAGACAUUACGUGUAAUGUAUUGCAUGUACUGUACGAAUAAGCAUCGGCUAACUCCGUGCCAGCAGCCGCGGUAAUACGGAGGAUGCGAGCGUUAUCCGGAUUUAUUGGGUCUAAAGGGUGCGCAGGCGGGAUUUUAAGUCAGCGGUGAAAUGUUCAGGCUCAACCUGAACACUGCCGUUGAAACUGGGAUUCUUGAGUAUGGAUGAAGUAGGCGGAAUUCGUUGUGUAGCGGUGACAUGCUUAGAGAUAACGAGGAACUCCGAUUGCGUAGGCAGCUUACUAAGCCAUAACUGACGCUCAAGCACGAAAGCGUGGGGAUCAAACA
rnacentral:rRNA from 1 species